rnacentral:rRNA from 1 species
CCUACGGGGGGCAGCAGUAGGGAAUCUUUCACAAUGGGCGAAAGCCUGAUGGAGCAACGCCGCGUGCAGGAUGAAGGCCUUCGGGUUGUAAACUGCUUUUAUAAGCGAGAAAUAUGAUGGUAACUUAUGAAUAAGGAUCGGCUCACUACGUGCCAGCAGCCGCGGUCAUACGUAUGAUCCGAGCAUUAUCCGGAGUGACUGGGUGUAAAGAGUUUCGUAGGUGGACUAAUAAGUAGCUAGUGAAAUCUGGUGGCUCAACCAUUCAGACUAUUAGCUAAACUGUUAAGUUCGAGACCGUUAGGGGUAACUGGAAUUUAUAGUGUAGGAGUGAAAUCCGUAGAUAUUAGAAGGAACACCAAUAGCGUAGGCAGGUUGCUGGGACGGUUCGGACACUAAGGCACGAAAGCGUAGGGAGCAAACGGGAUUAGAUACCCCGGUAGUC